rnacentral:misc_RNA from 1 species
AACGGUCUAUACCUGCGGUACCUGCGGAAGGAUCAUUACUGAACGGCCCCAUGGGCCUUCAACCCCAUCAAACCUGUGGACCUCAAUCCGUGCUUCGGCGCCGUGGAAGCGGCGUCGCUUUUAUGCAUAAAGCUGGAUCUAGUCUGAUUCAAUCAAGAAGAUUUAAAACUUUCAACAACGGAUCUCU